rnacentral:rRNA from 1 species
UACGUAGGGUGCAAGCGUUAUCCGGAAUUACUGGGUGUAAAGGGCGAGUAGACGGUUAUCCAAGUCAGUUGUGAAAACUUCGUGCUCAACAUUAAGCGUGCAACUGAAACUGGACUACUAGAGUGCAGGAGAGGAAAAUGGAAUUCCUAGUGUAGCGGUGAAAUGCGUAGAUAUUAGGAGGAACACCAGUGGCGAAGGGGAUUUUCUGGACUGUAACUGAUGUUGAGGCGCGAAAGUGUGGGGAGCAAACAGG